UGACAGAUUAAUUUCAUGGUAAGUUGGUCAAUUGACUAAUACAGUGCUGACAGAGCAUCUCCCGUCUGUGUGUUGACACUGUAUUUGUAUUUGUAUUUGUAUUGAUCAAUUGACCUAGGUUAAUUUCAUGCUAACCACUCCCACUCCCAUAGAAAAGGUCAAAUCUCCUAGGUUACCCCCUAAUUUCCCUCCUAGCUCUUUCC
rnacentral:lncRNA from 1 species